UCACGCAGCCGGGGAGAUAGCGGUGCCCUGUAUCUGCAAUCCGCUUUAGCAGAGGUGAUGCCCUGCCCAGGGUAUUUCAUCGCAUAGCCGCCCUUUUUCGUAGGUGUUGAAGCCGGGGUCCCGCGCAAUAGGAAUCUGUGAACCGUGUCAGGGUAGGAAUACAGCAGCACUAAGCAGAACCUUCUAUGUGCCGUGGGGUUGCCUUAGCGGAGCUUCCGGAAAAGGUAGCGUGUGUCUUGAAUAUUCAAAGCAGGGCGCGUGG
rnacentral:SRP_RNA from 1 species